rnacentral:rRNA from 1 species
GCGCCUCGUGAAUUCAUCUCCGGGGGUAGAGCACUGUUUCGGCUAGGGGGCCAUCCCGGCUUACCAACCCGAUGCAAACUGCGAAUACCGGAGAAUGUUAUCACGGGAGACACACGGCGGGUGCUAACGUCCGUCGUGAAGAGGGAAACAACCCAGACCGCCAGCUAAGGUCCCAAAGUCAUGGUUAAGUGGGAAACGAUGUGGGAAGGCCCAGACAGCCAGGAUGUUGGCUUAGAAGCAGCCAUCAUUUAAAGAAAGCGUAAUAGCUCACUGGUCGAGUCGGCCUGCGCGGAAGAUGUAACGGGGCUAAACCAUGCACCGAAGCUGCGGCAGCGAACGUAUCACCCAAGACAACUUUACGGAGUUGACGAUUGACGGAGCGAAGCGACGUCAAAGCGUUCAUUAAAGUCGAGUUGGCUUAGGGAUACGUUCGUUGGGUAGGGGAGCGUUCUGUAAGCCUGUGAAGGUGUGUCGUGAGGCAUGCUGGAGGUAUCAGAAGUGCGAAUGCUGACAUAAGUAACGAUAAAGCGGGUGAAAAGCCCGCUCGCCGGAAGACCAAGGGUUCCUGUCCAACGUUAAUCGGGGCAGGGUGAGUCGACCCCUAAGGCGAGGCCGAAAGGCGUAGUCGAUGGGAAACGGGUUAAUAUUCCCGUACUUGGUGUUACUGCGAAGGGGGGACGGAGAAGGCUAUGUUGGCCGGGCGACGGUUGUCCCGGUUUAAGCGUGUAGGUGUGUGUUCCAGGUAAAUCCGGUUCACUUUAACACUGAGGCGUGACGACGAGGCACUACGGUGCUGAAGCAACAAAUGCCCUGCUUCCAGGAAAAGCCUCUAAGCAUCAGGUAACAC